UGAGGAAUAUUGGUCAAUGGACGCAAGUCUGAACCAGCCAUGCCGCAUGAAGGAUGAAGGCGUUCUGCGUCGUAAACUUCUUUUAUCUGGGAAGAAACCUGCGAUUUCUAUUGCAGCCGACGGUACCAGAGGAAUAAGCACCGGCUAACUCCGUACCAGCAGCCGCGGUAAUACGGAGGGUGCGAGCGUUAUCCGGAUUUACUGGGUUUAAAGGGUGUGUAGGCGGGCGAUUAAGUCAGUGGUGAAAUCUCGGGGCUCAACCCCGAAACUGCCAUUGAUACUAUUUGUCUUGAAUACUGUGGAGGUGAGCGGAAUGUGUCAUGUAGCGGUGAAAUGCAUAGAGAUGACACAGAACACCGAUUGCGAAGGCAGCUCACUACGCAGUUAUUGACGCUGAGGCACGAAAGCGUGGGGAUCAAACA
rnacentral:rRNA from 1 species